CUUGGCAUUAAACCAAAUCUUGAUCCUUUGAAGGUAGCUGCUGAUACUUUCUUGUAUAUAAUUUGUGAUAUGAUAGUGCUUCGAUGCUAUCCUGAUUAAAUAGUGGGAAAUGAAACUAUAGGUAUUAGCCCAGUCAAACAACGGUCUAGUCGCUUUAAUUGAACUGGGCUUCAUGCAACAUUUGGCUUAAAAGUGACCCUGUCUUGCAAAAGGUCUUCAGUGGUCCUGCCUCUCCCGAGGUUGUCAGUGGUCCUGCCUAUGUCUCUGAGGGUCCGGUGGAUACCUCAGCUCCUGUCCACGUUCCUGAACUCACCAAGGAUGGAGUCCAGGUCUACCUGGAGUCGUGCCAGCCCUCCAGAGCUCCACCGUGGGUUCCAGCAGUCCGGCUGCUGCUGUCCCGAAGGGAUCCAUAGUGGAUUCCAGCAGUCCAGUCACCUCAGACUCACCAGUCUUCAAGGUCCUGGCUCCAGCCUACAGCCGUCCUACUACUGCCUGCAGGGUUCCAGCCUGCAGCAUCAAGACCUUGUCCUGGAAAUGACCAUCUGAAGUCAGAAUUAAAAGACGUAAAGAGGAAGAUUUCUCGCAAUCACUGAGCUCAAAAUCCACAGAGAGAAGCUCUGUGCACCAUCCUUUGUUCUUCUGGAAGAAUGCUCCUGCCAGCUACCACAUCAGACAGUCCUGAGCUUCCAGUUCUCCACACCUGCCUCCUAUUCCCAGUGAAUGCACCUGUCCUUACUCAUCAGAGCAGGACAGAUGGGAGCUGGAGACGAAGAUGGGUAGCCCAAGAGGUACCCGUGACCCCCUUCCCUGCCCCGUCAGCUGCAGCAACAACAUGCCACACGUAUCAUGACUCUGCUUCAUCCUCGACUUUGACAGAAGCUCACCUACCCUCCAGCUUCUUAACAGAGCGUGAUUUACAGCAGACUAUGUUGAACAGCUUGAGCUACUGGACCACUGAGCCCUGAACAAAUCCUUUAUUCACCACUGGAGGACUUCCUGUUCAUGAUUGCCGGGAUUGUUUUUUUCCCCCCUCACAAGCUGAGAAAUAAGCACACCUAUCAAUAAAUUAAAUAAUAUAUACAAAGAAUGCUAAUGACAAUUUCUCAUUCUGUGACCGAUAUCUCAAAUUAAUAAGCUGAUUACAUUAAUUAACACCCAUAAAUCACUGGUGUUUGUCCACUGGAAAAAAAAACAUAUGGAAGAAUACCGGUAAUUCAAGCGAGCAGAAUCUCAAGUCAUGCAUCUGUGCAAAUAUUUAUUUUCCUCUCCCUCUAAUUCUGCAGCCUCUGCCUGUAUUAGCGUUAGGAGACAUAUUCAAUAAGCACUGUUCUUCUGAAACAGCUUGUGUACAUUCUACUUAGAUCUGUCCAAAUUUACUAUAUUGUUAUACGCUUUUAGAGUUGACAAAGUAUUCUCACCCACUGAACCUUUUCAGUCCUUGUGAUUAACGGGCGACCUAACCAGACUGGUCAGAAUAGGCACCUGCACCCCCCUGCAACCCUCCAUGGAUGAAUGGAUGGAUUGCAACUUUCACCUUUUGUCACAUUAAAACUUCAAACUUCAAUGCAUUUUAUGUGACAGGCCAACACAAAUCAGUGCAUAAUUAAUUAUAAAAUGAACAAAGCAUUUUACAUGUUUGCUAUUUUGUUUUUACAAAUAAAAAAUCUAGAAAUUUGUGUUUUUGCCUUUGUAAUCAGCACAUGACUGAAUACUUUGCAGACUCACCUUUUGCUGUAGUUACUCUUGCAAAUGUUUAAAAGUAUAUAUUCACCAGCUUUGUUCAUCUAGAGAUUCACACUUUGGCCUAUUCCCUGGCAAUUGCAUUCAAAUGUGUACUUUGAUCUAAGCUUUGUAUCUCGGGAUGUAUAUUUAGGGUAGGGUUGCUGUCUUGGUGGAAGGUGAACCUCCAAUUUCAGUGUGUUUUGUAGCCUCUAACAACCUGCAGCCUGUUCGAUGGGAUUUUCCUAUUUAGCUCCC